UACGUAGGGGGCAAGCGUUGUCCGGAAUUAUUGGGCGUAAAGCGCUUGUAGGCGGCUUGUUAAGUUCCGUGUGAAAUCCCCAGGCUUAACCUGGGAAGUGCGCGGAAAACUGGCGAGCUUGAGUGCCGGAGAGGGUCGCGGAAUUCCCGGUGUAGAGGUGAAAUUCGUAGAUAUCGGGAGGAACACCAGUGGCGAAGGCGGCGACCUGGACGGACACUGACGCUGAGACGCGAAAGCGUGGGGAGCAAACAGG
rnacentral:rRNA from 1 species